UACCAGCACCCCGAGUGGUCGGGACGAUUAUUGGGCCUAAAGCAUCCGUAGCCGGUUCUACAAGUCUUCCGUUAAAUCCACCUGCUCAACAGAUGGGCUGCGGAGGAUACUAUAGAGCUAGGAGGCGGGAGAGGCAAGCGGUACUUAGUGGGUAGGGGUAAAAUCCGUUGAUCCAUUGAAGACCACCAGUGGCGAAGGUGGCUUGCCAGAAUGCGCUCGACGGUGAGGGAUGAAAGCUGGGGGAGCAAACCGG
rnacentral:rRNA from 1 species